rnacentral:rRNA from 1 species
GACGAACGCUGGCGGCGUGCUUAAUACAUGCAAGUCGAGCGAGAAAGCUCCUUCGGGAGUGAGUACAGCGGCGAACGGGUGAGUAACACGUGGGCAACCUGCCCAAGGGAGCGGGACAACCCGAGGAAACUCGGGCUAAUACCGCAUGAUGUGUCAUGUCAUAAGGCGUGACACCAAAAGGUAGCUUCGGCCUCCGCCCUUGGAUGGGCCGGCGGCGCAUUAGCUUGUGGGUGGGGUAACGGCCUACCAAGGCGACGAUGCGUAGCUGGUCUGAGAGGACGAUCAGCCACACUGGGACUGAGACACGGCCCAGACUCCUACGGGAGGCAGCAGUAGGGAAUCUUGCGCAAUGGGCGAAAGCCUGACGCAGCAACGCCGCGUGAGGGAAGAAGGCUCUCGGGUUGUAAACCUCUUUCAGGUGGGACGAAGCUUCCAGGGUUAAUAGCCCAUGGGGUGACGGUACCUCCAGAAGAAGCCCCGGCUAACUACGUGCCAGCCGCCGCGGUAA